rnacentral:tRNA from 1 species
CAAGGAAUAGUUUAAAAAGAAUUUCAGCUUUGGGUGCUGGUGGUGGGGCAGUUGCUUCUUCCUUGA